rnacentral:rRNA from 1 species
UGAGUAACGCGUGGGUAACCUACCCCAAAGUCCGGGAUAACAGCGGGAAACCGCUGCUAAUACCGGAUGCCUUUACCUUGGGGCAUCUUGAGGUAAAGAAAGGCAACGCUUUGGGAUGGGCCCGCGUCCCAUUAGCUAGUUGGUGAGGUAACGGCUCACCAAGGCGACGAUGGGUAGCCGGCCUGAGAGGGUGGACGGCCACACUGGGACUGAGACACGGCCCAGACUCCUACGGGAGGCAGCAGUAGGGAAUAUUGCGCAAUGGACGGAAGUCUGACGCAGCGACGCCGCGUGAGCGAUGAAGGUCUUCGGAUCGUAAAGCUCUGUCCUUGGGGAAGAAGGCGAAAGCUUGACGGUACCCAAGAAGAAAGCCCCGGCUAACUACGUGCCAGCAGCCGCGGUAAUACGUANGGGGCGAGCGUUGUCCGGAAUUACUGGGCGUAAAGGGUGCGUAGCGGCCCUUUAAGUCGGAUGUGAA